rnacentral:rRNA from 1 species
CCUACGGGAGGCAGCAGUGAGGAAUAUUGGUCAAUGGACGCAAGUCUGAACCAGCCAUGCCGCGUGCAGGAUGACGGCUCUAUGAUUUGUAAACUGCUUUUGUACGAGGGUAAACCCCGAUACGUGUACCUUUUUGUAUGUACCGUACGAAUAAGCAUCGGCUAACUCCGUGCCAGCAGCCGCGGUAAUACGGAGGAUGCGAGCGUUAUCCGGAUUUAUUGGGUUUAAAGGGUGCGUAGGUGGUUUGAUAAGUUAGAGGUGAAAGGUCGGGGCUCAACCCCGAAAUUGCCUUUAAUACUGGUGGACUAGAGAAUAGUUGAGGUAGGCGGAAUGUAUGGUGUAGCGGUGAAAUGCUUAGAGAUCAUACAGAACACCGAUUGCGAAGGCAGCUUACCAAACUAUAUCUGACGUUGAGGCACGAAAGCGUGGGUAGCAAACAGGAUUAGAUACCCUAGUAGUC